UACGUAGGUGGCAAGCGUUGUCCGGAUUUACUGGGCGUAAAGAGCGCGCAGGCGGUCGUUCAAGUCGCGUGUGAAAGCCCCCGGCUCAACUGGGGAGGGUCACGCGAUACUGAUCGACUCGAAGGCAGGAGAGGGUAGUGGAAUUCCCGGUGUAGUGGUGAAAUGCGUAGAUAUCGGGGAGGAACACCAGUGGCGAAGGCGGCUCUCUGGGACGGUACUGACGCUGAGACGCGAAAGCGUGGGGAGCGAACAGG
rnacentral:rRNA from 1 species